rnacentral:rRNA from 1 species
UACGUAGGGGGCUAGCGUUGUCCGGAAUCAUUGGGCGUAAAGAGCGUGUAGGCGGUCCGGUAAGUCCGCUGUGAAAGUCGGGGGGCUCAACCCUCGAAUGCCGGUGGAUACUGUCGGGCUAGAGUGCGGAAGAGGCGAGUGGAAUUCCUGGUGUAGCGGUGAAAUGCGCAGAUAUCAGGAGGAACACCUAUUGCGAAGGCAGCUCGCUGGGACGUAACUGACGCUGGAGACGCGAAAGCGUGGGGAGCAAACAGGAUUGAG